UACAGAGGUCCCAAGCGUUGUUCGGAUUCACUGGGCGUAAAGGGUGCGUAGGCGGCCAUGCAGGUCAGCUGUGAAAACUCGAGGCUCAACCUCGAGACGUCGGUUGAAACCGUAUGGCUAGAGUCCGGAAGAGGAGAGUGGAAUUCCCGGUGUAGCGGUGAAAUGCGCAGAUAUCGGGAAGAACACCUAUGGCGAAGGCAGCUCUCUGGGACGGUACUGACGCUGAGACGCGAAAGCGUGGGGAGCAAACAGG
rnacentral:rRNA from 1 species